AUGAGGCCCACGAGGGGGGGCAGGGAGGGCAGCCCCACGGCGGUGCCCCCCCCUGUGCCCGGCGGUGUCAGCGGGUGGCACGUGUCCCCAGCAGCCCCGCUUCCGUGGGCGCCACGGGAGGCACACCGGGUCCGGGUACCGCGCCGUGGGGGGGGGCGUGCAGCGCGGUGCCACGCGUGGGGCGCUGCUCGGGGAGGGGAGCGGCCCCACCUGUGUGUGCGGGGGGGGCAGUGCGGUGCCGGAGGGCGGCGCGCGGGGCGGGAGCGGGGUGUUGUGCUGUGCGGUGCCGUGCCGUGCCGAGCCGUGCCGAGCCGCCCCAUUCCGUGCCGUGCCGCCCCAUUCCGUGCCGUGCCGUGCGGUGCCGUGCGGUGCCAGGCGCGGGGCGGGGGCGGCCGUGCCCGCUUGGCGGCGGGGGCGCGCCCAGCUGUUGCGCCGUCCCUCCCGCGGGCGGGUCCGCGCUCGGCCGCCCCGCAUUGGCGGCGCCGGGCGGAGCGGCGCGGGGCGGCGCGGGCGGCAGCAGCGGCGGGGCCGGGGCCGUGCCCGGAGGCAGCAUGGCCCGCUGAGGCCGCCUGCUCGCUCGCCCCGCGCCGCCCCGCGCAGCGCUCCGCGGGGCGCGCCAUGGGUGCGCGGCCGCGCCGCCGCCGGGCCCCCUCCGCCGCCGCCGCAGCACCGGGAGCGCUCGUCUCCUUGCUCGCCGCUGCCCUGCUGGCCGCCGCCGGUGAGUCCCCGCGCGGCAAGGUCACCCGGGAGAGCGGCACCGGGAGGGCGACGGGUGGGGGCCGGCGGGGGGCUGCCCUCGGUACGCGGUGCCCGCUUCCCCCGGCGCGGAGUCACGGGGCAUCUUCCGCCGCGCCGUUCCCCGAGCCGGGCGCUGCCGCCCCGCGUCCACGCGUGUCCCCUCGCCCCGCGGCUCCUCUCUUCCGUGGGUCGUUCGGUGUCCCAAACGCAGCGGCUCCGUCCGCCGGUUCUCACCCGGUGCGUGCGGUCCCGAGCAGCGGGUGGGACGCGGGGGACGGGAUUAUCCUCGCCCUGGGGACUGAGUCUGGGUGGCCGCGGCGUGGGGUCCGUGGAGCUGUGCGGGUGUCGCUGCAGCCCGGCUGUCCCCCGCGUGCCGCACGCACGGACGGGAGCUGCUGUGCCGGCUCGGCCCCCCUCGCCUCCCCUCAACAACGUUGGGCCGGGGGCUGCGGGGCGGGAGGGAGGUGCCGGUGGCGGCGGCUCCUGGCAGGUGUCACGUUAGCCUGA
rnacentral:lncRNA from 1 species